rnacentral:rRNA from 1 species
UCCUUAGACGUUCUGGGCCGCACGCGCGCUACACCGACCAGUGCAACAAGCAUCCGUCCUUGGCCGACAGGCCCGGGCAAUCUUUGAACGCUGGUCGUGAUGGGGAUAGACUUUUGCAAUUUUUGGUCUUCAACGAGGAAUUCCUAGUAAACGCAAGUCAUCAACUUGCAUUGAUUACGUCCCUGCCCUUUGUACACACCGCCCGUCGCACCUACCGAUUGAAUGGUCCGGUGAAGCCUCCGGAUUGGCGCGCACCUCGGUGCCGCCGAGAAGUUGGCUAAACCUUACCAUUUAGAGGAAGGUGAAGUCGUAACA